rnacentral:rRNA from 1 species
GCAGUCGAACGCUUCUUUCCUCCCGAGUGCUUGCACUCAAUUGGAAAGAGGAGUGGCGGACGGGUGAGUAACACGUGGGUAACCUACCCAUCAGAGGGGGAUAACACUUGGAAACAGGUGCUAAUACCGCAUAACAGUUUAUGCCGCAUGGCAUAAGAGUGAAAGGCGCUUUCGGGUGUCGCUGAUGGAUGGACCCGCGGUGCAUUAGCUAGUUGGUGAGGUAACGGCUCACCAAGGCCACGAUGCAUAGCCGACCUGAGAGGGUGAUCGGCCACACUGGGACUGAGACACGGCCCAGACUCCUACGGGAGGCAGCAGUAGGGAAUCUUCGGCAAUGGACGAAAGUCUGACCGAGCAACGCCGCGUGAGUGAAGAAGGUUUUCGGAUCGUAAAACUCUGUUGUUAGAGAAGAACAAGGACGUUAGUAACUGAACGUCCCCUGACGGUAUCUAACCAGAAAGCCACGGCUAACUACGUGCCAGCAGCCGCGGUAAUACGUAGGUGGCAAGCGUUGUCCGGAUUUAUUGGGCGUAAAGCGAGCGCAGGCGGUUUCUUAAGUCUGAUGUGAAAGCCCCCGGCUCAACCGGGGAGGGUCAUUGGAAACUGGGAGACUUGAGUGCAGAAGAGGAGAGUGGAAUUCCAUGUGUAGCGGUGAAAUGCGUAGAUAUAUGGAGGAACACCAGUGGCGAAGGCGGCUCUCUGGUCUGUAACUGACGCUG